rnacentral:rRNA from 1 species
GGAUUAGAUACCCUGGUAGUCCUUGCCGUAAACGAUGCAUACUAGGUGUAGCUGGAAUCAGCCCCAGCUUUGCCGUAGCUAACGCGAUAAGUAUGCCGCCUGGGGAGUACGCUCGCAAGGGUGAAACUCAAAGGAAUUGACGGGGACCCGCACAAGCAGUGGAGCAUGUGGUUUAAUUCGAUGCAACGCGAAGAACCUUACCUGGGCUUGACAUGUAGGAGACAGCUCUAGAAAUAGAGUCUUCCGCAAGGACUGCUACACAGGUGCUGCAUGGCUGUCGUCAGCUCGUGCCG